rnacentral:sRNA from 1 species
UGGCGUGAAACAAGGGGCUUUAUGGCUUCUCUAGAUCCACUGGUGAAGCAAAGUUGCGUGCGCACAGAGCAUUUGGUGCGACUAUUACCUGUGAUCCUGCCGGUGUAAUUGGAUCUGUCAGUGAUACACAUCUAUGGGGGACACUUGAAAUGUUCACUUUAGCGUUUGCAUAUGGCCUCUUCUUUGAAGGUGGCAAACGGCCUGGCUCUUGCUGGAGCUUCUGUGGGAAAAUUGCUGUAUGCCAAUUAUGGCAUUGACCCGUUGAAUCUAUAUUUCAUAUAUUGAGAGAGAUUGCAGCAGAGCUCAAAGCAUUUGGGAGACAUCAGAGUGCCAAGCCAGCUUGUUACUCCUUUUAUUGGAUUAUAUGGCCUCAAUGCUGGCUAAUCCUUAAAGAAAAACACCUGUAGUGUGAUAAUCUUGAAGGGAGUAGCCUGUUGAUCUUCACAUGGUAUCUGUGGGAGGUUGGCUGGAAGCCAGUUCCCCUAUUCUCCAAAACCAACUGGAAGUACAGGUCUUUCUUGCUUAGGAGCCUCCUGAAAUGGAAUGGCAGAAUAUGAAUGUUGAUGUGCCGAGGAGAAUGGCAUCUGGCGGAAUUAGAGCAGGGAAAGUAAUUUAAACCAAUCUUGGCAAGGGAUAUUGAAGUAGAAAUCUGGGGAUUACAGUUUAAGCUUGCAGUUUGCAAUUUAGAAGAAGGCACUAAAAUAUGUAUUCAGAUUUCAGACGGACUUGGCUAUUAUUGCAAAAUUGAUGAAACAAGAGAGAAGAAUGCAGUGGCACACGGGAUGGCAAAUGGAGCUACAACCCUGAUUUGGAGUGACCACGCUAAGCAUCUUAGGGCUGUUUGUUUUUCUUCCCCCACCUUUAGAGAAUCGUGUUUAGACCUUCGUUGCAUUAUUUUUAUGGAGUCAUUGCUGGAAACUUACUGCUGCUUUUCUUUUUCUUUCUUGGUCGAUUGGACGUUGUUCUGUUUAUGUGCAGAUUGCAGAUCAUGAUCAAGGAUGUUAAUGAGCAGUUGCAGUCAUCUGUCAAGAGAAGCUAUAGCUUCUUAUUGGAAAUUUGUCCUAUGCUGCUGAGUACGGUGAGAAAUGGUAAAUUAUGCUCUCUAUCUCUCUCUCGUUGCACGACAUGUUAGGUGAUGAGAGAGACAUAAAACGUGAGUGUUUGAACCCACGAAGCCAAGUUUUUUUCUUGCUAAUAAGACCGGUUGCUUUGAUAGUUCAUUGUUCUUUUCUGACCAAAACCAGAUUAUUAACAAUGUGGUUUGGUUUGGUGACAGUCUCUAUCUUUCACUGUUAUCUUCCUAAAUUCAGCUGAAAAACCCAACUUGUAUUUUUCUUUGAAAUUGUCUGCAA